rnacentral:rRNA from 1 species
AGUAAAUAGAUACCCAGGUAGUCCUAGCCGUAAACGAUACUCGCUAGGUGUCGGCCACGGUGCGACCGUUGUCGGUGCCGUAGGGAAAGCCGUGAAGCGAGCCACCUGGGAAGUACGGCCGCAAGGCUGAAACUUAAAGGAAUUGGCGGGGGAGCACCACAACGGGUGGAGCUUGCGGUUUAAUUGGAUUCAACGCCGGAAAUCUUACCGGGACCGACAGCAAUAUGAAGGCCAGGCUGAAGACUUUGCCGGAUUAGCUGAGAGGUGGUGCAUGGCCGUCGUCAGUUCGUACUGUGAAAGCAUCCUGUUAAGUCAGGCAACGAGCGAGACCCACGCCCACAGUUGCCAGCGUACUCUCUGGAGUGACGGGUACACUGUGGGGACCGCCGCUGCUAAAGCGGAGGAAGGAAUGGGCAACGGUAGGUCAGUAUGCCCCGAAUAUCCCGGGCUACACGCGAGCUACAAUGGUUGGUACAAUGGGUAUCUACCCCGAAAGGGACGGGAAUCUCCUAAAACCAAUCUUAGUUCGGAUUGAGGGCUGCAACUCGCCCUC